rnacentral:lncRNA from 1 species
AUGACUUUUUCCAAAGCAGGGCAGGAAUGUGGACAGGCAGGAGGAAGAGACAUAUGGAUCAAUCAUGCUGAGCCUCCUUUGGCUCGCCAGGAGGAGGUGCAAGAGACCAAGGGAAGGAGAGGAAGAGUUGUUCUAGCUAUUGGCCAAAGUAUUGCUUUGGCAGAACAAAUUUCCCGAGUAUUUCAGAUGCACAAAUUUUAUCUCUAUUCUCACAGCUUUAUCUAUUGCAUGCAGACUUUAAAGUUAAGACACUCAGCACCUCAAGCACUGGACCAUGGUUGUUAAGCUCAAGAAAGAGAAGUGAAGUUCGCACCUGUAUGAAAUCUUGCUGGGGAAAACCGAACAGCUAAAACUAUGGGCUCUACGAGACAAACAGCACCCACUUCCAUCACCCUUACUGCACAGGUUUAAAAAGCUCAUUAUCCUGUCUUGUUCCCUCUGACUUCAGUACUGUUCUGUUAAUUAAAAUCAUGAGAGAUUGCASGUUUAUAAUAUUGUAUUGUAUCAAUAUGUCAAUCUCAUAAAGCUGCUCCUUACUACCUUCAUCUAUUAUGACCCAUGUCUGAAAGAAAGCAGAUUGGAGAUCUCCUUUUAAUCUCUCUAAAGACUGAGUAUAUUGUGUCAGUUGGGAUAUUGGCUCUGACUCCUUGCUCCUAGAAAUUCUGUUUAUCAGUGGGGAGACUGCAAUGACUACUUUUCACCAAGGUGUUCAAAGCGAUAGGCUUGAGCUGAAUUCAUCCCUGGUAUUGGACAUACUGCCAGAGAGGUAAGGUAUAGUUUCUGAUGCAUUCAAGUGGCAAGGAAACCCAUAUAUCGUUCCCAGUCACUGCAGCUAUAUUUUACUUCUAUUCAUUAGAGUAUAGUAUCUAGCCGUACCCAUUGCUAAACAUAACUGCAUGAAGAAAGAUGGAUCCAGGACUCCAGGAUAUGUGUCCUAUCCACUAAAGCUCAUGUGGAUGUGUAACUCCUGUGUUUCUUAAGCAUGUUUUAGCACUAUAUUACAAAGCUUUUAGCUAAUGAGAAACUAGUUACCCCUGUACUUUUCAAAGUCUGCUAAGUCUAUCUAUUCCAGAGGACUGUAGAGGUGAGGGAAGAAGUAUGCCUGCUUAUAUGAUCAAUUCAAAGGGCAACUGUGACUCUAGCUCUUACAGAAAUCUUACAGAAAGGGAGGUGGCAGUGGUUUUGUAACAUCACCUGCUAAUCAUUGAGAUCCUGGAGCAAGCAAGAAUGUGUUGCUUUGAGUUUUCUUUAACUCUAAUUUUGUCUGAUAUUUGUAGAGGGCACAAAAAUGAAAAAGUAGA